GAAGUCUGCUGGAGGUAUCAGAAGUGCGAAUGCUGACAUGAGUAACGAUAAGGGGAGUGAAAAACUCCCCCGCCGGAAGACCAAGGUUUCCUGUCCCAUGCUAAUCAGGGCAGGGUAAGUCGGCCCCUAAGGCGAGGCAGAAAUGCGUAGUCGAUGGGAAACGGAUUAAUAUUUCCGUACUUGGUAUAUCAGUGAAGGGGGGACGGAGAAGGUUAUGCAAGCCUGGCGUUGGUUGUCCAGGUGAAAGUGCGUAGAGUUGUUUCUUAGGCAAAUCCGGGAAACUACAUGCUCGAGACACGAGACGAGACUCUAAGGAGUUGAAGUUGCAAAUACCAUGCUUCCAGGAAAAGCCUCUAAACUUAUGAUAUAUCAAACCGUACCCCAAACCGACACAGGUGGUCAGGUAGAGAAUACUAAGGCGCUUGAGAGAACUUGGGUGAAGGAACUCGGCAAAAUCGUACCGUAACUUCGGGAGAAGGUACGCUCCGAUU
rnacentral:rRNA from 1 species